UGAAUACGAGACGCUACGGCGUCGAAGCAGUCUAUGUCAUACUUCCAAGAAAAGCUUGCACUGUCAUAAACAAAUAAUGCCUGUACCAUAACCGACACAGGUGGGUAGGUAGAGUAUACUAAGGGGCGCGAGAUAACUCUCUCUAAGGAACUCGGCAAAAUGACUCCGUAACUUCGGGAGAAGGAGUGCCUUAUUUAUAAGGUUGCAAUAACAAGAUCCAAGCAACUGUUUAUCAAAAACACAGGUCUCCGCUAAGUCGUAAGACGAUGUAUGGGGGCUGACGCCUGCCCAGUGCCAGAAGGUUAAAGAAGUUGGUUAGCAUUAGCGAAGCUGAUAACUGAAGCCCUGGUGAACGGCGGCCGUAACGAUAACGGUCCUAAGGUAGCGAAAUUCCUUGUCGGGUAAGUUCCGACCCGCACGAAAGGCGUAAUGAUUUGGAUACUGUCUCGGAGAGGGGCUCGGUGAAAUAGACUUGUCUGUGAAGAUGCGGACUACCUGCACCUGGACAGAAAGACCCUAUGAAGCUUUACUGUAACCUGAAAUUGAAAUUGGACUUUAUUUGCGCAGUAUAGGUGGGAGGCGUUGAGAAUAUUCUUGCGGGAAUAUUGGAGCCAUCAGUGAGAUACCACUCUUGUAAUGUUAGAUUUCUAACUUUGAAUCAUUAUCUGGUCAAAGAACAGUUUCAGGCGGGCAGUUUGACUGGGGCGGUCGCCUCCUAAAUGGUAACGGAGGCGCACAAAGGUUUCCUCUGAACGGGUAGAAAUCGUAUCUAGAGUGUAAAGGCAUAAGGAAGCUUGACUGUGAGACCUACAAGUCGAGCAGGGACGAAAGUCGGUCUUAGUGAUCUGACGGUGCUGAGUGGAAAGGCCGUCACUCAACGGAUAAAAGUUACUCUAGGAUAACAGGCUGAUCUCCCCCAAGAGUUCACAUCGACGGGGAGGUUUGGCACCUCGAUGUCGGCUCAUCGCAUCCUGGGGUGGUAGUACGUCCCAAGGGUUGGGCUGUUCGCCCAUGAAAGCGGUACGCGAGCUGGGUUCAGAACGUCGUGAGACAGUUCGGUCCAUAUCCGGUGUAGGCUUAGAAUAUUGAGAGGAGCCUUCUUUAGUACGAGAGGACCGAGAAGGACAUACCUCUGGUGUACCAGUUAUCGUGCCAACGGUAAACGCUGAGUAGCUAUGUAUGGAGAGGAUAACCGCUGAAAGCAUCUAAGUGGGAAGCCCACCUCAAGAUAAGUAUUCUC
rnacentral:rRNA from 1 species